UCGUCUUCUUCAUCAGGACCCCCGCCCCCCCCUCCCCAGCGAGCUUCCUCUUCACCCAUCGAACACCAAAAAUCGACCGCCCGUCCUGCUUCUUCUUCGUGCUUUGAACAGAGACCCAAAAAUCGGAGUUGUUUCUAAGCUAAACCCAGCGACCCUUUUAACGAUCUUCAUCAGAAAUAGUAGCACACGCACACACACGAAAUAGAGGGAGACGAACAGAGGAGGUUUCGUUCUCAGUGUUUGGAUUUGCCAUACAGUUUUCCUUUCAAUUCCAUAGAGAAUAUGUAAAAAUACAAAAAUUCAGUCCUUUCAUUCUUCUUAAUUUGUUUCAAAGAUCAGAAAAAUGCAAAAAUAAAGGUUUCGUUCUUCUUCUGGAUUCUCGUUGGGAGUUCGAUCAGUGAGGCUUUCGUUCGAGGUCGCCGGCGAGUGUUUCACUUGAAAAUUAUCCAAUUGUUGUAGUCUGAAUUCAGAUCCAUCAACACAGAUCCAGGUGCCAGGGCAUCCGAGUGAGAGCUGAUCUUUGCCUUCAGAGUAUUUCACGGAGUUAGCAAAGUAGUUGCACGGCGUCCGCAGCCCUGCCUUUCUCCUUCCUAUCUUCUAGUAUUUUUAUUUAUCAAACUCAUUUUGUAUUGAGUAGACAGUGUCGGAUUGUAUUCUAGUGGCUCAUGACUAAUGACACCAGGAUCGGGGCAGUGUCUGAUGUUUUGCGUAUUUAUUUCCGCUUAUUUUGAAAUAUUAAAUAUGAAAGAUUUGUGAUUA